rnacentral:lncRNA from 1 species
AGACAAUAAGGCAAAGUUGCCAAAGCUAAAAGGCCUUUUUAAUCACCCUGAAGUUAGUCAAAAAGCCUGCCCUUUACAACAAGAGUUAUCCAACUGGAAGCAGUUACCAAUGCCCAUAUAUGGGCAAGUAUGGCAACUUCCUGUAGCCUUGGCUGCAAAUGGUGCUCAAAGAAGAUAACAAGGAUCCCACAGAUGAAAAAUAUGAAAGCUUCAUUUCUAAUAUAA